AGAGUUUGAUCCUGGCUCAGAACGAACGCUGGCGGCAGGCCUAACACAUGCAAGUCGAGCGAGACCUUCGGGUCUAGCGGCGGACGGGUUAGUAACGCGUGGGAACGUGCCCUUCUCUGCGGAAUAGCCACUGGAAACGGUGAGUAAUACCGCAUACGCCCUUCGGGGGAAAGAUUUAUCGGAGAAGGAUCGGCCCGCGUUAGAUUAGUUAGUUGGUAAGGUAACGGCUUACCAAGGCAGCGAUAGGUAGGGGUCCUGAGAGGGAGAUCCCCCACACUGGUACUGAGACACGGACCAGACUCCUACGGGAGGCAGCAGUGAGGAAUAUUGGACAAUGGGCGAGAGCCUGAUCCAGCCAUGCCGCGUGCAGGAAGACUGCCCUAUGGGUUGUAAACUGCUUUUACAGAGGAAGAACCACUCCCACGUGUGGGAGUUUGACGGUACUCUGCGAAUAAGGAUCGGCUAACUCCGUGCCAGCAGCCGCGGUAAUACGGAGGAUCCAAGCGUUAUCCGGAAUCAUUGGGUUUAAAGGGUCCGUAGGCGGGCAGUUAAGUCAGUGGUGAAAGUCUUCCGCUCAACGGGAGAACUGCCAUUGAUACUGAUUGUCUUGAGUUAUUAUGAAGUGGUUAGAAUGAGUAGUGUAGCGGUGAAAUGCAUAGAUAUUACUCAGAAUACCGAUUGCGAAGGCAGAUCACUAAUAAUAUACUGACGCUGAUGGACGAAAGCGUAGGUAGCGAACAGGAUUAGAUACCCUGGUAGUCUACGCCGUAAACGAUGGUUACUAGCUGUUCGGCCCGAUUAAGGGCUGAGUGGUUAAGCGAAAGUGAUAAGUAACCCACCUGGGGAGUACGUUCGCAAGAAUGAAACUCAAAGGAAUUGACGGGGGCCCGCACAAGCGGUGGAGCAUGUGGUUUAAUUCGAUGAUACGCGAGGAACCUUACCAGGGCUUAAAUGUAGUCUGACAGGAGUGGGA
rnacentral:rRNA from 1 species